rnacentral:rRNA from 1 species
AUGGGGACGUGUAGCUUAGUGCGGAUGAUGAGCUUACUGCAGCUAGACUUGAGAAUGUUGCGUAUGCUGCUGGCCCUUUCUCCCCCUCCCAGUUCACACUGGAAAUUCAGAAAACACCCGCCAUUGAUGCUGAUGGAGACCGAGACCGUGGUGGAAAUAUUGCCGGAGACGCCGCUGAUGGAGACCGAGACUGUGGUUGAAACACUGCUGGAGCUGCCGUUGGAUGUAUUGAUGGAUAUCUUUUCCCUCCUGGAGCUUCCUGACCUCAUUCGUGCGAGCUUUGUGUGCUCCUUCUGGCGCUCUGCUUAUAGUAGUCUACAUAACCAGCUUGGGCAAUAUAAGCGGCCCCAGACACCUUGCCUCCUCUACGCCUCCGAAGCUGAUGGUGAGAACGGAGCUUGUCUCUACAGUCUUGCAGAAAAGAGGGUCUACAAGCUAACUCUUCCGGAUCCACCUAUCCGUAGUAGGCAUCUCAUUGGGUCCUCCUAUGGCUGGUUAGUUACUGCUGAUGAGAAGUCUGAGCUUCACCUUCUCAAUCCGAUCACUGGUCAACAGAUUGUCCUCCCCUCGGUGAUCACCAUUGAGCAAGUAGAGCCGAUCUUAGACAGUGCCGGUGCAGUUAAUAAUUAUAAGAUGUGGGAUUUAGAGCAGGACGAUGAUCCUAAUGAGUUUCCUGACUGCCUCUGCAUCAGGGCUUUUGUGUUUCCUGAUCCACCCACGGGAAGCUACAUUGUGGUUCUCAUCCACAAUCCAGAGCGAUAUCUUUCGUUUGCAAGGGUAGGUGAUUAUAAGUGGACCUCCCUGCCAGGUGAGAACUAUGAACAAUGCAUCCACAUGGAUGGUCUAUUGUAUGCAUUCACAGAAACCGGAGGAGUCUAUACUUUUGAUCUGACCGGUCCUACCAUCACAAGGAAUAUCAUUGCAGAGGAGAUGGAGAAUUACAUUAGUGCGACUGAUGGGCACAUGUACGUUGUUCAGGCUCCAUGGGGUGAUAUGUUGCAAGUUUGCAGAGACACUGAAUGCACAGAGGGGUUCACAAAGACUAAGAAAAUGAUGUUAUAUAAAACUGAUAUGGCAGCAAAAGAGCUUGUGGAAAUGCAUGGCUUGCAUGAUCAUGUGUUGUUUCUUGGGCGUAGUCAGUUGCAAUGCCUCAGUGCUGAGGAAUACCCGCAACUGAAGACAAAUUGUGUUUAUUUCACAGACGACAUGACAUAUAUUUCGAAGUAUAAGAAUGAUGACCGGGAUAUAGGUAUUCUCAACUUGGAAAAUGGCAGCAGGGAAGAAAUUGUACCUCAGCUUUGGUGCAACUGGCCAAAUCCCAUAUGGAUAACACCAAAUCUCAUGAGGAUGAAUAUGUGA